GUAAUACAGAGACACCCAGUGUAUAACAUAGGGACAGUGUGUAAUACAGAGACACCCAGUGUGUAAUACAGAGACAGUGUGUAAUACAGAGACACCCAGUGUAUAACAUAGGGACAGUGUCUAAUACAGAGACACCCAGUGUGUAAUACAGAGACAGUGUGUAAUACAGAGACACCCAGUGUAUAACAUAGGGACAGUGUCUAAUACAG